AUUCAAGUAGCUUAUAAAUAGAGCAUGACACUGAAGAUGUUAGGGAGAUUAAUGUAAUCUUUGAAUA
rnacentral:tRNA from 2 species